AAUACGAUCUUUAUUUUUUUCCGCCUCUUUCCCACAACCCUUCUCGUGCGCGCCCCAACUCGUCGCCCUCUUCACCGCCUUCCUCCUCCCCGCCUCAACUUUCGGCCUCGCCAACUCGACUUUCAGCCAUCUUUUCUGCCUCCUCCUCACCGAUGAGCAAUAGUUGUGACUGGAUCUGGAGGAGCUGAGGCACCAGCAGAGCAUCGCCAAGAGGCCUCAAGUUGCCUCCCUUCUCGUCUCUGAGAUUCGUAGCCUCGAAGCCAAGUUGUCUGUGAUGACUGCGACGACAACAGGGGUAAGGCUUCUUUAGAGAAGGCAUUGGUAGCUGCUGCCUCUUUGAAGAGUUAUGUUACCCUGUCAUCGUUCAGCUGGGAUCAAGACCAUGAUAAGAUGAAGGUAUGUUGGCUUCAUUUUUUUACUGUACUAUUUCUGAUGCUUUGAGUAAAUAAAUCACACUGCCUUCAGAGCAUCGCUAACAGAAAAUAAGAGUCCAAACAUACAUUAAAUUUACAUGAAUAAUUUUAUCAAACCAUGUAAAUUUUGAUCAAUCAACAACCACACUAUCUUGCUAGAUCACCUACGUGGAUGUCCCCGGGGUCAUGGUGUCGCGGUAGGAUAUUUAGGUUGUCUCCUAGAUACUCGCGGUUCGAAUCCCAGCUACGGCGUAUUUGCAGGAAUUUUCCUCCAAAUAGGGAGCGUAAUCAAAGGAUGCUGGGCUUCUGGGCUGGCCACCGCGUGCGCUUCCUGAUUUAUCCUGGUGGUCGGUGAAAAAUUUCCAUGGGACCGCACCGAUUACUCCCAGAGAUAGUCAAUAAAACUAACUGAAAUUAUCCUUUUCAGAUCACCUACGUGGAUGACUAUUUAAAUUAUGUGGUUCAUUUCUUGAUAAAUCAUCAAAUAUUAAUAUUCUAAAUUGUGUUCAUUCUCCUUGUGAACUUUCAGUUGCAAAUUGCUCGUUAUAGCAUGUCUUUAGUAAAUUCUCGCAGCAUCAGUAAGAUCAAUUAGUAGGCUCCUUGUGAUAUUUCAAUUGCAAAUUGAUCCUUUUUAUAGCAUGUCUUUAGUAAAUCCUUGCAUUAGUGGGAUCAACCACUAGGACUAUAGCACUUUGAUCAAAUUCUGCAUCUUCUAUGGAUGUUCAACUUAUGCUAAUAUUUCAAAUUAAUUAACCAAAAAAAUACCCAUUUUCACUUCCACCAUCAUAAAUUAAUUCCCUCUCCUUGAGACUGACAAUAUCAAUCUAACUUUGAAGAAUAUAUUUUCUUUGUAUGGUUUGGUCAUGUAUUUCUUGAAAGUGGUGAUUUUGCACAACUGCUGGGCCUGGUAGCCUUUUGUCACUUUCGAGGUGUCGGGCAUCGUGAUCUAAAGCCAGAGGUCCACUAUUUUUCCUUGAUGCUUCUUAUAUCUUAUUCUUGCUUUUAAUUAAACUCCAUAUUUGUUGUUGAUGUCUUCUUCUCUAUGUUGUAACAAAAUUUUCUCUUCACAACUAAAGAUGAAAUUUCUUCAAUGAAAUUAAUUUACUUCGGUCUUUUUUAUUUUAUCAGAGAACGUGAUAAUAUGUCACAUUUGGUGUAUUAAUUUAUUUUUUUAUUCCUUGUGAACUGAGAUAAUUGCAAACAUAUAACUAUACAACACUAGUGGAACUAAGUAACAGGAUUUCCCACAUGACUUCCGAACAUCUUGUCUACCAAAUCAAUUGUGCCAUGUGAUCUACCUUUUUGUUUCAUUUUUAUGCUAUUAUUAAAGAGUGGAACCUUUGGUCACCGAUGAAAGGCUAAAUGACACUGUUGGAAGUUCAUACUAUGUUGCUUCUGAAGUCCUACAUAGAUCAUACAACACUGAAGCAGAUAUGUGGAGCAUCGGUAUUAAUAUUCAUAGAUUAUAUAUGUUAUUUUGUAUUGUUAACACACAAACUUUCUGUAUUCAUUGCUUAUGAUUUAUGUGUUUUGCACCAUUUUUCUAUCAUAUUUCAGCAUAAUUACUAUUUUGCGUCCAGAUAUCUGCUCGGUGUUUGUUUUUACUUUUAGGAGCAAUUUGGAACAGAAAAGGAUUCUAAAGACGUAAAAGAACAUCAUUUGAAGAAGACCAUGACCUAGCACUUGUUUACUCUGUGGAGAGAAAUCUGCUCGGUGUUUGUUUUCACUUUUAGGAGCAAUUUGGAGCAGAAAAGGAUUCUUAAGACGUAAAAGAACAUCAUUUGAAGAAGACCAUGACCUAGCACUUGUUUACUCCGUGGAGAGAAAUAUAAGGAUUGGAGUGCCCAAGUCAUUCCAGAUGCAAAUUGGGCCUAGCUAUGCCCUGAGGGAUGGCGAAGGAAGCAGCAAGGACAAGGGUCAUGCCAAAUGGCAUGACCAAGGAGAAGAACCAGAGCAAAAUGGCUUUAGCAGUGCCAAACGACACAACCAGGAGCCAACCUGUUCCACAUUCCCAGGUUUGAAGAACAAUCGUGCCUUAAGGCACGACCAUGCCUCUAAAACCCAGUUUUGAAGAACCAGCUAUGCCAAAUGGCAUGACUCAAAAGAGCUAACAGAGAAGACUCUGUUUUGUCCAUGCUAUUUGGUACGACAAGACACCAGAGUUAGCUUUGGCCGUGCGAUAUGGCACGGCCAGGUGCCCUGAACCAGAACCACUUUGGUUCUGGCCGUGCUAAAUGACAAGGCCAAAUGCACAUGGUGUGCCUUGGUCGCGUCUUUAUGCACGACCACCCCGUGCCUCAUCUCUAUAAGAGGGGACUUCAUCUCCUCCACAGGAGAUGAAGUUUAGAGAUGGGCGAAGAUCAUCUAGGUCAAAUCCUUGCAUCCAGAUACAUCAUCUGGACGAUCCGAGUCCAUUCUGUUGCUCCAGCCUCGUCGACACACUAAGAUUUGCAUCCAAAGGCUUCACUUGACAUCAAAGGAUAAGAUUUCCUCUUCCUUCUCUUGGAUUUCUGUUAUUAAGAGUCUUUGAAUUGUAUAUCUUUUGAUUAUGGAGUAGAUUUAUGCUGUUAUAGGACGUAGGGAGUAAUUGUAAU